GUCUACGGCCAUGCUACCCUGAACAAGCCCAAUCCCAUCUGAUCUCAAAAGCUAAGCAGGGUCGGGCCUGGUUAGUACUUGGAUGGGACCACCUAGGAAGGCCAGGUUCUGUAGCAU
rnacentral:rRNA from 1 species